rnacentral:rRNA from 1 species
AUACGAUGGCCCAGCGUCUGAUUAGCCAGUUGGCAGGGCAGCGGCCUACCAAAGCGACGAUCAGUAGCCGGCCUGAGAGGGCGGACGGCCACAUUGGGACUGAGACACGGCCCAGACUCCUGCGGGAGGCAGCAGUGGGGAAUAUUGCACAAUGGGGGAAACCCUGAUGCAGCGACGCCGCGUGAGUGAAGAAGUAUUUCGGUAUGUAAAGCUCUAUCAGCAGGGAAGAAAAUGACGGUACCUGACUAAGAAGCCCCGGCUAACUACGUGCCAGCAGCCGCGGUAAUACGUAGGGGGCAAGCGUUAUCCGGAUUUACUGGGUGUAAAGGGAGCGUAGACGGCGCUGCAAGUCCGGAGUGAAAGCCCAUGGCUUAACCAUGGUACUGCUCUGGAAACUGUGGAGCUUGAGUGCGGGAGGGGCAGGCGGAAUUCCUAGUGUAGCGGUGAAAUGCGUAGAUAUUAGGAGGAACACCGGCGGCGAAGGCGGCCUGCUGGACCGUAACUGACGUUGAGGCUCGAAAGCGUGGGGAGCAAACAGGAUUAGAUACCCUGGUAGUCCACGCCGUAAACGAUGAUUACUAGGUGUCGCGGUACGAAGUACUGCGGUGCCGGCGCAAACGCAAUAAGUAAUCCACCUGGGGAGUA